rnacentral:tRNA from 1 species
CGUUCUGUGGCUUAGUUGGCCAAAGUGCCGGACUAGCGAUACGAAGUCGUGGGUUCGAAUCCCACCAAAACAG